GCAGAUCUACAGAGAGGAGUCCAGUGGUCAGGCACAGAGGGCUGCACAGGUGGCAUCCAGCUCCCAUGAUCCCCUGUGUACCAUGAGCAGAGACAGAACCAGGAUAAUGGUGCUGCGCAGGUAGGAGUGCUGGUGCCGCCGGAGCUUGUAGUCGGGGCAAUUAAUGAGCUCGAGUGCCAUUUCCUCCUAGAGAGGUCACAUGGACACAUGCCUCAGACAUGAAAACAAUGCAUGCUUUGGGCACAGGGACACUAUUCAGAUAGAGACACACACCUCAUGCGGACAUUCAGACACGAGACUCAUGCCUCAGACAUGGGGACAUGUGAUUCUGACACACAGACAUGUCCCCUUGGACAUGGGGAAGUAUUCCUUCAGAAAUGGGGAGAUGUCCCUCAGACACAGGACACUGAGAGCUGACAACCCUGGCCAAUAGCUCUACCUCACCUGGUCCUCGUCCCACCCAUACAGGUCCCAGUGCAGGACAACUCGGGCUCGCUGCCGCUUCCAGAUCUCCAGAAACACAGUGGCUACAGUGAAAUGUGGAGGUGUCAUGGCAAGAGAAGGUGACUUGGAGCUCAGGCCACCAUCCCACAGCUCUGGGGGACCUGCAGCAACUCACCCCACAGAGCCAUGAAGAUGGCAAACAGCACAGUGCCCUCGUUGUCAAAGAAGCACAGGUGGUCUUUUGGGAGCACUGUUACCUGAUAGCAUCAAUUGGCUGCUCCUGGAACAUGUUUCUCCACUGGGCCCACUUCAUCUUCAGGUCUUCCUCUCCCUGGGUAGGUGACAGAUGGUGAGCACUUCCUGCUUAGGGUCCAGUCCUCAGCCCCCUUCUGGCUGCUUAUCUCUCACCCUGUGUAGGGGGAACUUGUCCUCAAAGACCCCAUCUUUCACCAAGUCCUCGAAGGUGUCUAGGGGUCAUGAGAGUUCAUGUCAGAGGGCAGUGUAGGGCAAGGGUUGUGUGGGUCGGCACCCUCCAGCCACCUGCCCAUUUGUUCUCACCACCGGAUGCUGUCUUGCUGUUUAGGAUGAAGUUCACAAUUCGGAUUCUGAAACCCAAGAGCAAGGUUAGGACAGCCCUGUGAGACCUCAGUGGGCCCAAGUCAGCUGGGAUCUUUCCCGACUCUCCCAUCCUUCCCCUCACUUGCGCAGCCCUAGCCAUGGCCUCCAGGGUGACGGCUGCCAAGGUCUCCUGUCCUCCCUGCACCCCUGUGUGCAGCCCUCCCUUUGGCCUGGCCGAGAGCGCCCUCUAACUGUGCUCCCACCAGUACUGCACAUGUGCCCAGCACACUCUGCAGCCCUCUAGAGCUAUCUUGCCUAUGUGGAGAUGAAGGCCUCAGAGUCCAGCAGGGACAGCUGGGUCUAGGACUCUCCAACCCUGCCCACCUUUUUCAGCUGGCUUGGGUCCUGUGCCCUGGGGGAUACAGAAUGCUCCAAGCAAAGAGGACUGUCCUUAUCACUUAUCAAGGAAUAAGGCCCUACUCACACGAGGUGCUGGCUGUUCUGUUGUGAAUAGCUCAUGAGGCCUCCUGCUCUGCUUUGACUGAAUGGGUUGGGCAGAGCUUCUCACCUCGUGGUAGUUGGUGUUGCUGGCUCCACGCCCGAGGCAGGAACCUCUGGCUCCAUGAGGAGGGUGCGGUACAAGUCAAAGAUCCUGUUGUCAGCUCGGAUCCCAAAGAACACACGUUUCUGGUCCUCUCUCACCUGGAGUUGGGGCCACAUGUCUUCUACUAGAAACAUCCCCUCUCCACACCCUGACCUAGCCCUGCCCCCUGCCAGGUAUCACCACCUUGACAUGGAAGCCUUUGCUCUUGAGCUCCUCCAGGAACUGCUUCUGGCGCUCAACCUGCUUGAAUCUCAACUCUGUGUGGUACUUGGCCACAAGAAUGAAGUCCCACUGCUCAGAGGGCUCUGCCUGGAAAGGGAGCGUGGGUGGGCCAGGCAGAGACCCAGAAGGAGAGGGAUGGAGGACAGGGCCAGGCCAUGGGCAGGGAGUUUGUGAGACAAGGCAAGGACCGAGGCAGGUGGGCUUGGGACAGGGAUGGGCAGGGACCUUGGGAGGAACGAGUAUGGACUGAGGAGUGGAAGAGGGUUGGACCAUGCCCCAGGAAGGCCAUGAAGACCCACCUCACAAGUUCCAAUCUCCAUCAGCGGGAAGCUCUCCCCUUCUGUCCCCACCAGGACCUGGAAGCUCUCUUCAUCCUAAAGGGCAGACAAAGGGGUAGAAGAUGGGAAGGUAGGUAAGCCCCUGUUAUGGUUUAUGUCUGUGGCCCCCAGGCCUCAUGAGUUUGCAUUGUUCAUUUGUGAUGGUCCAUUGCAUAGUGCUUAGAUUGAUGGUGUCAGUGCUCCACCCACAUAGGGGUGGAGCCAGGAUGUGAUGUAAUGGCAGGAAGAAGGUGUGUCUUGCUCUUUGCUGGUUCCAGCUUGCUGUUUGCAGCCACCAUGAACUGUGGCCCAGCCAUGCCCGCCUGCCUUGGAGCCAACUGAAUGUGGACUGAAACCUCCAAAAACUGUGUGGACACCUCGCACCCAAAGCUGAGAGGAGAGUCAGAAAUAAGUCAGCAAAUGAGUAAGUCCACAUGGAGGCAAGGCCAAGGAUGGCCAGGAGCAGAUGAUGGCCACCCUCAUAACCAACCAGUCCACAUGCUGGAGAAGAAGCUGGCUAUCAGGACAGACAGCCUCUUUCUGCAAUGGGUGGAGGUGCAGCCAAGUUUCACAGAAGGGGAGCUGAUGCCCAGGAUGGCCUUAAACUCAGAUCCUUCUGCAUCAACCUUCCAAAUGCUGGGAUUGCACAAGGUAAAGUUUACAGGGAUAUUCAACUAUACCCAGAAGUCUCCAUUGUCCUAAACCUGUAGUCACCUUGGAUUCCAAAAUAGCCCCGCAGGACUGAGACUCCCCAAAUGGAAACAGUCAUGUCAUGGAAACAGAACACACCACCACCACCCCAGCAAGAGAUUUUUCUGGAGUUAGGAAACCAGGAAUGAGAUCAUGAUCGACCCGACCCCAGUCUUUCACCACAGCUCCUUCCCUAUUUUCUUUUACUUUCUUUGUUAGGGCACCAUGUUCUUGUUUUGGCAGCACAUGUACUGUGUUCCGGGCCGGCUUGAUCUUUGUCUGAGCUGUGCUGUACUCCCUUCGUUUUCUCUUAUUUUCCAAUUAAACCUAUUUUUCCUUGUAAAUUCU